AAUCUGCUGACUCUUGGACACCAGUUCAAAUACCGUCUUCCAAAACCAUUGUGUGAAGGAGCAGCUACUUUUGUUGAUCUGGUGCCAGGGUUCCGGAGACUUGGUACUGAAUGUUUCCUGGCACAGAUGCGGGCUCAAAAGGCAGAGCUUCUGGAAAGACUGUCAACAGCAAGGAAUUUUUCAAACCUAGAUGAUGAAGAUGCAUACUUAGCAGCAAGUAAAGCCGUCAAGCAGGUUUUACAUCAUUUAAAACGCUUGGGAAAAGUAUGGCAAGAUGUUCUUCCUGUAAA